GAAUGCUGACAUAAGUAACGAUAAAGCGGGUGAAAAGCCCGCUCGCCGGAAGACCAAGGGUUCCUGUCCAACGUUAAUCGGGGCAGGGUGAGUCGACCCCUAAGGCGAGGCCGAAAGGCGUAGUCGAUGGGAAACGGGUUAAUAUUCCCGUACUUGGUGUUACUGCGAAGGGGGGACGGAGAAGGCUAUGUUGGCCGGGCGACGGUUGUCCCGGUUUAAGCGUGUAGGUGUGUGUUCCAGGUAAAUCCGGUUCACUUUAACACUGAGGCGUGACGACGAGGCACUACGGUGCUGAAGCAACAAAUGCCCUGCUUCCAGGAAAAGCCUCUAAGCAUCAGGUAACAUCAAAUCGUACCCCAAACCGACACAGGUGGUCAGGUAGAGAAUACCAAGGCGCUUGAGAGAACUCGGGUGAAGGAACUAGGCAAAAUGGUGCCGUAACUUCGGGAGAAGGCACGCUGACACGUAGGUGAAGUGAUUUACUCAUGGAGCUGAAGUCAGUCGAAGAUACCAGCUGGCUGCAACUGUUUAUUAAAAACACAGCACUGUGCAAACACGAA
rnacentral:rRNA from 1 species